UACGAAGGGUGCUAGCGUUGUUCGGAAUCACUGGGCGUAAAGCGCACGUAGGCGGAUGUGUCAGUCAGGGGUGAAAUCCCGGGGCUCAACCUCGGAACUGCCUUUGAUACAGCACGUCUCGAGUCCGGAAGAGGUGGGUGGAAUUCCUAGUGUAGAGGUGAAAUUCGUAGAUAUUAGGAAGAACACCGGUGGCGAAGGCGGCCCACUGGUCCGGUACUGACGCUGAGGUGCGAAAGCGUGGGGAGCAAACAGG
rnacentral:rRNA from 1 species